rnacentral:misc_RNA from 1 species
AACGCAUCUUGCACCCCUUGGUAUUCCGAGGGGUACAUCUGUUUGAGUGUCAUGAAAUUCUCAGCUCUUACAUUUGUGUUACACGUUGAUGAGAUGUGUAGCAAUCGUACAAAUGUAAAUAUGCUGGUCCUUGAGUGCUGCUGUUUGUAUACAGCUCACUUCAAAUACAUCAGCAAUCUGGGGAAUUCGGAUUAACUCAAUGUGAUAAUAUCUUCAUUGAGGAUGCUUGUAGCAGCCGAAUUACAACUAAUGCUUCUAAUUUGUUUAAUCAAUUUUAAAUUAGACCUCAAAUCAGAUGGGACUACCCGCUGAACUUAA